UACGUAGGGGGCGAGCGUUGUCCGGAUUUAUUGGGCGUAAAGCGCGGGCAGGCGGCCCGGUAAGUCGGCCGUGAAAGCGCCGGGCUCAACUCGGCGAGGACGGGCGAGACUGCAGGGCUGGAGCAAGGCAGAGGGCGGUGGAAUUCCGGGUGUAGUGGUGGAAUGCGUAGAGCUCCGGAGGAACACCAGUGGCGAAGGCGGCCGCCUGGGCCUUUGCUGACGCUGAGCCGCGAAAGCGUGGGGAGCGAGCCGG
rnacentral:rRNA from 1 species